rnacentral:rRNA from 1 species
AGAGUUUGAUUCUGGCUCAGAACGAACGCUGGCAGCGUGGAUGAGGCAUGCAAGUCGAACGGGAUCCAGAGAGUAGCAAUACGAUUUGGUGAGAGUGGCGAAAGGGUGAGGAACGCGUGGGCAACCUACCCUGAAGUUGGGGAUAACCUGCCGAAAGGCGGGCUAAUACCGAAUGUGGUCGUCCUUCGCAUGGGGGACGAACUGAAGAUGGGGAUUCUUCGGAACCUGUCGCUUCAGGAGGGGCCCGCGUCCCAUCAGCUAGUUGGUGAGGUAACGGCCCACCAAGGCUUACGGGUAGCUGGUCUGAGAGGAUGGUCAGCCACACUGGGACUGAGACACUGCCCAGACUCCUACGGGAGGCUGCAGUCGAGGAUCAUUUGCAAUGGGCGAAAGCCUGACAGUGCGACGCUGCGUGGAGGAUGAAGGCCUUAGGGUUGUAAACUCCUGUCAUUCGGAAACAAUAGCGUUGGGUGUAAUAUACCCUACGCCUGAUGGUACCGAAAGAGGAAGCCACGGCUAACUCUGUGCCAGCAGCCGCGGUAAUACAGAGGUGGCGAGCGUUGUUCGGAUUUACUGGGCGUAAAGGGUGCGUAGGUGGUACUGUAUGUCGGAUGUGAAAUCCCACUGCUCAACGGUGGAACUGCAUUCGAAACUGCAGAGCUAGGGUGCAGGAGAGGAGAGCGGAAUUCUUGGUGUAGCGGUGAAAUGCGUUGAUAUCAAGAAGAACACCGGUGGCGAAGGCGGCUCUCUGGAAUGCUACUGACACUGAGGCACGAAAGCUGGGGGAGCAAACAGGAUUAGAUACCCUGGUAGUCCCAGCCCUAAACGGUGUACAUUUGUUGUUGGCGGAUUUGACCCCGCCAGUGACGGAGCUAACGCGUUAAAUGUACCGCCUGGGGAGUACGGCCGCAAGGCUAAAACUCAAAGAAAUUGACGGGGGCCCGCACAAGCGGAGGAGCAUGUGGCUUAAUUCGAUGCAACGCGAAGAACCUUACCUGGGCUUGACAUGCAGCUGCAGGCCCCGGGAAACCGGGGCGGCCUUCGAGGGCGCUGCACAGGUGCUGCAUGGCUGUCGUCAGUUCGUGCCGUGAGGUGUUUGGUUAAGUCCAGCAACGAACGCAACCCUUGUGCUUAGUUGCCACCCCCGAUGAUGAGUCGGGGAGCACUCUAGGCAGACCGCCCGUGUAAGCGGGAGGAAGGUGGGGAUGACGUCAAGUCAGUAUGGCCCUUACGCCCAGGGCUGCACACGUGCUACAAUGGAAGUUACAGAAGGACGCAAAAACCGCGAGGUGGAGCAAAUCCUCAAAAGCUUCCUCAGUUCAGAUUGCAGUCUGCAACUCGACUGCAUGAAGUCGGAUUCGCUAGUAACGGCGCAUCAGCUACGGCGCCGUGAAUACGUUCCCGGGCCUUGUACACACCGCCCGUCACAUCAUGAAAGCCGUCUGCACCCGAAGUCGCCGAAUCAACCCGCAAGGGAGAUAAGUGCCGAAGGUGUGGGUGGUGAUUGGGAUGAAGUCGUAACAAGGUA